GAACACAACUGGUCUGGAGUCAACACCAUGGCGUGGGCCCCGCUCCUCCUCACUCUGUUCACAUGCUGCACAGGUUCUCUUGCCCAGGAUGUGCUGAGACAACCGCCUUCAGUGUCUGUGUCUCCAGGACAAACGGCUAAACUCACCUGCACGGGAGAGAACUUUGAUAGCAAUGCAGUGAGCUGGUACCAACAGAAACCUGGCAGUGCCCCUCUGCUCCUCAUAUAUGCUGAUGAUAGGAGAGCUGAUGGAAUCCCAGAGCGAUUCUCUGGUGCCAAGUCUGGAAACACGGCCACACUGACCAUCACUGGAGUCCAAGCCCAGGACGAGGCUGACUAUUACUGUGCAGCUUUUGAUAUGGACAGUGAUGCACCUCACAGUGACACAUUGCAAUGGGGAAGUGAGACACAAACCUCUCAUUGUUAG